rnacentral:lncRNA from 1 species
UGCAACAUAUGCACUAUUAUUCUUAACCUAUCGAAACUCAACAUUCAACCAAAAUAUGAUAAUUUGUUCAUGUUACACAACUUAAGACUAUUUCAUUAUGUAUAUAUCAUCUCACACAUAUCAACACAAUCAUACAAUUCAAUUCAAGGAUAUUAACAUACAUUUUUAAGUUACACGAACUUACCUUCGUAUUUGAAUUUCA